UAUUUAGGGCAGUGAAUCCUCAUUAUUCCUCAUUCCGUAGCCGGCAGCUGCGCGGAUAGACGUGUAUUUGUUAAAAUAAACAUCUCUAUUGUUGUGUGUUAAUAAACAAAUUAUUGUGCUGUGAUGAUGAUACAUUGAACGGAUGCUAUUUAUUACUUGCUAGAAUGAAUCGGACUUCGGUACUCAUUAUGGUGCUGUGUGCAUUUUUACUAGUAAAUGACGUCACAAGCUCCAUACUACCCUCUUUGCGGGAAAAUCAAAACACAAAUGUAGAAAAUACGGAGAAAAACAUCUCAACAAAGGAAAUGUCAGAAGACUAUAAAAAAUACAGCUAUAUUAUAACCACCUAUUUAUAGUAUUUAUAGAAAUUUAUAAAUUUUAAUAAAAAGUAUUCAAUUGUCUAUCAAAUUAAUGAAGAUAUGACAGCGACACAAUGUUACCAAUAGAAAUAUUAAAUAUGUAAACUAGGUCUGUGAUGUUACCUAUUCUUGUAUACGAAAAUAACCUAUGUUCCGUAAUGCAAAAUAAUAAUAAGAAUUUAUUUUUAUAUGUAUGUACUAGAAAAGUGUUAAUAAGAUUUGAUAAUACUAUUUUUUGACGCUGGCAACUCCGAAGUUUUAUAAUUUCGAAUGUUGACGCUGGAAACACUGACGUUUUAUAGUUUCGUUUUUUAAAUAUAUUAUGUGACGCGGAUGUGAUUGAUUUGUACCUAGAUAACAUUAUAAUUAUAUAUAAAAAAAUUGCAAACAAGUUACCAAAAUAUGCGUAUGUACCCGUGCCAAUCUGAAUGCCAAUUAUUUAAUCAUACAUUAGACUGAAGGACAUGGGUCCCAUCGCUAACUACUAAAGUAAGAGUAUCGCAGUUGUGAGAGAGACACCGCUCUAGGCCGUGUAGAGCGCUGUCCCGCUUCCACACAAGUAGUUUUAUUGUAAGGCAUGGUAGGAGACGUCUUGGAUAUUCUUGAAAAGACAAAUAAUAAAUGUUCUGCUAUAAA